rnacentral:tRNA from 1 species
GCGCCCGUGGCUCAACGGAUAGAGCAUCGGACUUCUAAUCCGGUGGUUGCAGGUUCGAAUCCUGCCGGGCGCACCA